rnacentral:rRNA from 1 species
AUUGAACGCUGGCGGCAUGCUUUACACAUGCAAGUCGAACGGUAACAGGCCGCAAGGUGCUGACGAGUGGCGAACGGGUGAGUAAUAUAUCGGAACGUGCCCAGUCGUGGGGGAUAACGCAGCGAAAGCUGUGCUAAUACCGCAUACGAUCUAUGGAUGAAAGCGGGGGACUCGCAAGGGCCCCGCGCGAUUGGAGCGGCCGAUAUCAGAUUAGGUAGUUGGUGGGGUAAAGGCUCACCAAGCCGACGAUCUGUAGCUGGUCUGAGAGGACGACCAGCCACACUGGAACUGAGACACGGUCCAGACUCCUACGGGAGGCAGCAGUGGGGAAUUUUGGACAAUGGGCGCAAGCCUGAUCCAGCAAUGCCGCGUGCAGGAUGAAGGCCUUCGGGUUGUAAACUGCUUUUGUACGGAACGAAAAGGCUCUGGUUAAUACCUGGGGCACAUGACGGUACCGUAAGAAUAAGCACCGGCUAACUACGUGCCAGCCGCCGCAGUAAAAC